GGUGCUGCCCAGGAUCAGGAGGCUGAGACGUGAUCUGGAAGUGAGUGCCCAUCCAUACACCUUCCCCAGCUUUGGGGCCACAGAGGGACAGAAACCGCAGGCAGGCUGGCCUGGGAAUGAACCUACACCAGCCUGAAGUCAGAAGAGCCUCUAGGAGCCUCCAGCCUGGACUCUUUUUACAGAUGGGGAAACUGAGUCCCAGAGAGGGAGCAAUGAAGGAUGUCUAAGGUCAUCAGCAACGUAAAGCCAACAGCAUCAUCCUGAGUCAUGUUUGAACCUGAGGGAAAGAAACAUAUGUUCGAAGAGGUUCUGAGGCUGCUGCACCCGAUAUCAUACCUGGUUGGCCCUGGGAAAGGGCCCACCUCCAAUACAUAAACACAACCAGCUUUGACAGUGAGCCCUGAAGCAUGGCAUUGAGAAGCUGCCUAAGAAGGAGGCAGAUCCAUCAGCCUGGGUGCCCGACUGAUUACCCUGAGCAGAGCUCCCCAGCCCACCUGUGAUGGACGCAUGGAGCUUGAGCAAGGAAUAAAUAUUCGUUGCUGGACUCUGAUUACACUGGACCUAUCCAAGAUCUGAGAUCAUCAACUCAUCUCAAAAUCCUUAAGCUGACCACAGCAGCAUCGUCCCUUUUGCAGUGUAAGUUCCCCUCCAGGUUUGCACAGCAUCUGCUGAAGUCUCCACUAGAAACUCAAUGGAAGGUCCCCACCGGAAACUGAAAGUCUCCUAGAGUGGCUUUGAGUUGCGGUUUCACCCUCCCUGCAGAUCCACAG
rnacentral:lncRNA from 1 species